rnacentral:rRNA from 1 species
UACGUAGGUGGCGAGCGUUGUCCGGAUUUACUGGGCGCAAAGAGCGCGCAGGCGGUCGUUCAAGUCGCGUGUGAAAGCCCCCGGCUCAACUGGGGAGGGUCACGCGAUACUGAUCGACUCGAAGGCAGGAGAGGGAAGUGGAAUUCCCGGUGUAGUGGUGAAAUGCGUAGAUAUCAGGAGGAACACCUGCGGUGUAGACGGCUUACUGGACCAUAACUGACGCUGAGGCACGAAAGCGUGGGUAGCAAACAGG